rnacentral:rRNA from 1 species
GGACUACUCGGGUUUCUAAUCCUGUUUGCUCCCCACGCUUUCGCGCCUUAGCGUCAGUUUCGAGCCAGAAAGUCGCCUUCGCCACUGGUGUUCUUACGAAUAUCUACGAAUUUCACCUCUACACUCGUAAUUCCACUUUCCUCUCUCGAUCUCCAGUUCCACAGUAUCAAAUGCACCUCCCGGGUUAAGCCCGGGGCUUUCACAUCUGACUUAUGGAACCGCCUACGCGCCCUUUACGCCCAGUAAUUCCGAACAACGCUAGCUCCCCUCGUAUUACCGCGGCUGCUGGCAC